GUCUAACUGACGAGUACCAAAUAGGACGAAACGCGCGUUCUGGAU
rnacentral:hammerhead_ribozyme from 1 species